ACGAAUUAGAGUUGGAAGAUGGUUUGGUGAUCAUGAAAGCAAAGUGCCUGCCAGACGUCCGUUGUCUUAGACUGGGUUCCCCGGACACAGACUCGGAGACAAGGAUCCACAUGAAAGUGACUUUUCAGACUGUGUUACCAGGAAAGCUGGCAGGAAAAUGAACAAAGGGCAAAUGACACGGAUCCAAAACGCUCGGCAGAGGAGCUGUGAUGGCAUGGCACAGGAGACGGUGCAGCUGUCUGAACGUGGGUGACUGGGCCUGGUGGCUGUCGUUUGAGGGGCACCAAGAAAGGGAAAUGGUGGGGAGGGCAGAGGACAUUCCUGGUCCCAGCUCCUUGUCAUGCCUGCCUGCCUCCUGCCCCCUGUCGCAUCAGUACUUCCCACUGUCCCCGUAACUGUGCACGGAGGAGCCCUGCCCCAGCGCCACCCUCUAGCCGGUGCCCUGUGCCCUUCCCCAGCCAGGCUGGUCACCACCGGGGGAGGGUCCAAGGAGCCAAGUCCCCCAGGCCCCAGGCACCCCCUGCUAGGCCACACUGUCUGGUCCCUGGGCCCCUGGAAUCAUCCCACAGUCCCCAGUCUGCUUCCAGCAUUCCGCAGCGUCUUCCCAGUGUCCCUCUUCAGGAGGGACUUCCAGUGUGCAGGGGCGGGGGCUGCUUCCGGAGCCUGGGUGUGGAGCUGCCAUGGCCACAUACCAUCAGCCUCCUCGCCAGGUAGGAGGGACCGGGGCGAGGAGAGAAGGGAGAAGGGGCUGCUCACAGGCUCGGCCAUGCGGGGCUGGUUCUCCUUGCAGAGGAACCCAACCUCUGAAUCCAAACCUGACAGUCCAUGUCCUUACGAAGUCAUGUUUGCCAAGGGAGGAGGAUAAAUGUGCUUUAUGUGACAGCACGUGGCUUGAUUUGUCACUUUGCAUAUCGCGCAUGGGGUGUGUGCGCCUCCGAGUGUGCCAUGCUGGGCCAGCCUGUCCCCCCCCCCAGGCCUCCUAUCUUGGCCACCGACUCUGAGACCAAGACCCAGUCAGGGGCGACUGUAAUAAUUCAUUUUCCCUUGAUUUUAGAUCAUUGCAUCUAAACUUGUCAUUUGCUCUGUAACGCAUUGGACAGUGAUGCUCUCAACUGGUUAUGAGUAAAUAUUGGGAUUUGUGAUAUUUUUCCCUUUGUUUAUUUGUGAAGAGGAAAAAUGAUGGAUGUCGUUUUGGUAUUAACUCAAUGAUUUGGCAUUUGUAUGCUCCUUUUCUGUUUUUCCAAUAUCCUAUCAAGCCACACUGUAAUAUUUUUUUUCCUUCUAAUCCUAAUUCCACAAUGAUGGCAUUUAAAUAGCGACAUCUAUCUUAGUUUACAUCAAUGGGGGCACAAGGACAGGCGGCAGCAGGACAUGAAUGGUCUCUAUUUGGCGCUUAGGGUUGCAGUUUUACAUGCAGUGACUGAGUCUGGUCAGCAGAUGGCAGCAAACAUCUUGUAAGAAAGAAAAAUAAUUAUUUAGGUUGAGUUAAAAAUAAAGAGAAAGAAUGAGAGGGGAAAAACCCACAGGACUCGUGGAGAAGCAAACUGCUACAGGACGCGGCCUUGCUUGCAGGUCUUACGGGGCCUAGACAGGGCCAUUUCUCGUUUCAUGUGCCCCUUUCUACCUAACCCUGCUCAGUGGUGACUCAGGUCCGCACAGGCAAAGUGGGGAAUUCUGAGAAGGGGAGGUUGAGGCAGGGGUGGCUUGGAGCACAGAACGCUGGCCCCAACUCUCAGCCCCAGGAGGGGCCGCCUGGGCUGAGUGGCACUGUGCCCCUCCGAGUGUCCCGUCUGACCUUGCUCUGGCUGCAGCCACCUGGCUGGGCCUCCCCGCUGCUCUGUAUGCACCCCGCGUCCCCAGCUCUGGGCUCCAGCGCCCCGCCCUCCUCCCAGGCUGCGAGGAGGCGACAGCUCAUUUAACCUGUGUCCUCAUCUCCGGGCUCCGCUGGCGGUUGCCAUGGCAACCCCCAAGGCUCCUCAGGCUUUUCUCACUGACUGACCAGGCCUGGAAAACCAUUCUGGAAUUGACAGAGCUAUAUUCGGGGAAAAUUUAAAGAAAGAGCAACCUGACCUAGUUUGGAUGCUGCGGGAACAAAAUGGCAGGGAUGUGCGGUGUUACGAAACGGAAAGGGACAGGAGAUAGGGAGACUUCAGCGACUCCAGGGACUGGAGCAAGGGCCCCGGCCUUCGUUAUUUCCUCGUCUUCCUGCAAGAAGAGCUCGACACCAAAAUGCAGAAAUAAAGAAUAAGUCUUCUUUGCCUUCUUUUUCGCAACUGAAGCUAUGAGCAGGCAUAAGGGAGAGCCGGGAAGUGAGCACUCCUGCCCCCCUGGCCUCGAGACGACCACAGCCCUGGCCGGCAGCCUCGUCGUGACCUCACAGGGGACCUGGCAUCGUUGGACACCGCCGAGCUGUGCCCAGAGUUCUGACCCACAGAAACCGUCAGAAAAAUAUUAAUAAGUGUGUGUGUGUUCAAGCCACGGUGUUUUAGGGAAUUUUGUUACACGGCAGUAGAUAACCAAUACAACCAUUUGUUUAUGUCACUUGC